rnacentral:rRNA from 1 species
GACGAACGCUGGCGGCGUGCUUAACACAUGCAAGUCGAACGGAAAGGCCCUGCUUUUGUGGGGUGCUCGAGUGGCGAACGGGUGAGUAACACGUGAGUAACCUGCCCUUGACUUUGGGAUAACUUCAGGAAACUGGGGCUAAUACCGGAUAGGAGCUCCUGCUGCAAGGUGGGGGUUGGAAAGUUUCGGCGGUUGGGGAUGGACUCGCGGCUUAUCAGCUUGUUGGUGGGGUAGUGGCUUACCAAGGCUUUGACGGGUAGCCGGCCUGAGAGGGUGACCGGCCACGUUGGGACUGAGCUACGGCCCAGACUCCUACGGGAGGCAGCAGUGGGGAAUAUUGCACAAUGGGCGGAAGCCUGAUGCAGCAACGCCGCGUGCGGGAUGACGGCCUUCGGGUUGUAAACCGCUUUCGCCUGUGACGAAGCGUGAGUGACGGUAAUGGGUAAAGAAGCACCAGCUAACUACGUG